rnacentral:ncRNA from 1 species
AUUAUUUCGUUGACGAGAAGAGUAGGCAAUCAUCCAGUCCUCAGAGAGUCACCAGUUUGCUGGAAGGUGAUGGCGGUUGUUUGGCUGAAGAUCAUCUCCGAGAAGUUCCUCCGAAAGGCUUCGAGUAGGGAGAACCGGGAAACGACCGUUAUUCGUUUUUGCAAAGAGCCGUGCAUCUGCACGGAAUCUGGGUGGUACCGCGGAAGUAUAUCCGUCCCUGAC